GACGAACGCUGGCGGCGUGCUUAACACAUGCAAGUCGAACGGAAAGGCCCUGCUUGCAGGGUACUCGAGUGGCGAACGGGUGAGUAACACGUGGGUGAUCUGCCCUGCACUUCGGGAUAAGCCUGGGAAGCUGGGUCUAAUACCGGAUAGGAGCCAUUUUUAGUGUGAUGGUUGGAAAGUUUUUUCGGUGUAGGAUGAGCUCGCGGCCUAUCAGCUUGUUGGUGGGGUAAUGGCCUACCAAGGCGGCGACGGGUAGCCGGCCUGAGAGGGUGGACGGCCACAUUGGGACUGAGAUACGGCCCAGACUCCUACGGGAGGCAGCAGUGGGGAAGAUUGCACAAUGGGCGCAAGCCUGAUGCAGCGACGCCGCGUGGGGGAUGACGGCCUUCGGGUUGGAAACUCCUUUCGCUAGGGACGAAGCUUUUUGUGACGGUACCUAGAUAAGAAGCACCGGCUAACUACGUG
rnacentral:rRNA from 1 species